rnacentral:tRNA from 1 species
GGACAGAUAUCGAAGUGGUCAUAACGAGGCGGUCUUGAAAACCGUUUGCUGUAAAAGGCACGUGGGUUCGAAUCCCACUCUGUCCG